rnacentral:rRNA from 1 species
AAGCCCAAAGGCGCAAUGAAAGUGAAGGUCUCCCUUGCGGAGCUGAUGUGUGAUCCUGGGCACUGCGGUGCCCCCCGGGCGCAACAUAGUCCCGUCCCGAUCGCUUGCGAUGGGGCGGAGACAGAGCGUACGCGCUGAGACCCGAAAGAUGGUGAACUAUUCCUGAGCAGGAUGAAGCCAGAGGAAACUCUGGUGGAAGUCCGAAGCGAUUCUGACGUGCAAAUCGAUCGUC